GGGACCUCAGGUCAGCGGG
rnacentral:rRNA from 1 species